rnacentral:sRNA from 12 species
AGGAGGAGGACGCAUAUGUGCGAAGCACAUAUUUAGGAUGCGUCCGGCGACCUGCCGCCGAACGAAUGUGAGGAGGCAAUACCGCGA